AACGAACGCUGGCGGCAUGCCUAACACGUGCAAGUCGAACGAGUGCCUUCGGGUGCUAGUGGCGCACGGGUGCGUAACGCGUGGGAAUCUGCCCUUUGGUUCGGAAUAACAGUUGGAAACGACUGCUAAUACCGGAUGAUGACGAAAGUCCAAAGAUUUAUCGCCAGAGGAUGAGCCCGCGUAGGAUUAGCUAGUUGGUG
rnacentral:rRNA from 1 species